ACUUAAGCAUAUCAAUAAGCGGAGGAAAAGAAACCAACCGGGAUUACCUCAGUAACGGCGAGUGAAGCCGUAACAGCUCAAAUUUGAAAUCUGGCUCUUCCGGAGUCCGAGUUGUAAUUUGUAGAAGAUGCUUUGGGAGGUAGGGCCGGCCUAAGUUCCUUGGAACAGGACAUCAGAGAGGGUGAGAAUCCCGUAUGUGGCCGUGGCCUACGCCCGUGUAAAGCUCUUUCGACGAGUCGAGUUGUUUGGGAAUGCAGCUCAAAAUGGGUGGUAAAUUUCAUCUAAAGCUAAAUAUUGGCCAGAGACCGAUAGCGCACAAGUAGAGUGAUCGAAAGAUGAAAAGCACUUUGGAAAGAGAGUUAAACAGUACGUGAAAUUGUUGAAAGGGAAGCGCUUGCAACCAGACUUGGGCGUCGUCGAUCAUCCGGGGUUCUCCUCGGUGCACUCGACGAGGCACAGGCCAGCAUCGGUUUGGAUGGUUGGAGAAAGGCCCUAGGAACGUAGCUCUCUUCGGGGAGUGUUAUAGCCUAGAGCGCAAUGCAGCCCAUCCGGACCGAGGACCGCGCCUUUGGCUAGGAUGCUGGCGUAAUGGUUGCAAGCGACCCGUCUUGAAACACGGA
rnacentral:rRNA from 1 species